NNNNNNNNNNNNNNNNNUGCAACGCGAAGAACCUUGCCUGGUCUUGACAUCCACAGAACUUAGCAGAGAUGCUUUGGUGCCUUCGGGAACUGUGAGACAGGUGCUGCAUGGCUGUCGUCAGCUCGUGUUGUGAAAUGUUGGGUUAAGUCCCGCAACGAGCGCAACCCUUAUCCUUUGUUGCCAGCGAUUCGGUCGGGAACUCAAAGGAGACUGCCGGUGAUAAACCGGAGGAAGGUGGGGAUGACGUCAAGUCAUCAUGGCCCUUACGAGUAGGGCUACACACGUGCUACAAUGGCGCAUACAAAGAGAAGCGACCUCGCGAGAGCAAGCGGACCUCACAAAGUGCGUCGUAGUCCGGAUCGGAGUCUGCAACUCGACUCCGUGAAGUCGGAAUCGCUAGUAAUCGUGGAUCAGAAUGCCACGGUGAAUACGUUCC
rnacentral:ncRNA from 1 species